AUAGUGGGGGAUAACCUGGGGAAACCCAGGCUAAUACCGCAUACGUCCUACGGGAGAAAGGGGGCUCCGGCUCCCGCUAUGGGAUGAGCCUAUGUCGGAUUAGCUAGUUGGUGAGGUAACGGCUCACCAAGGCCACGAUCCGUAGCUGGUCUGAGAGGAUGAUCAGCCACAUCGGGACUGAGACACGGCCCGAACUCCUACGGGAGGCAGCAGUGGGGAAUAUUGGACAAUGGGCGAAAGCCUGAUCCAGCCAUGCCGCGUGUGUGAAGAAGGCCCUCGGGUUGUAAAGCACUUUCAGCGAGGAAGAACGCCUAGCGGUUAAUACCCGCUAGGAAAGACAUCACUCGCAGAAGAAGCACCGGCUAACUCCGUGCCAGCAGCCGCGGUAAUACGGAGGGUGCAAGCGUUAAUCGGAAUUACUGGGCGUAAAGCGCGCGUAGGUGGCUUGAUAAGCCGGUUGUGAAAGCCCCGGGCUCAACCUGGGAACGGCAUCCGGAACUGUCAAGCUAGAGUGCAGGAGAGGAAGGUAGAAUUCCCGGUGUAGCGGUGAAAUGCGUAGAGAUCGGGAGGAAUACCAGUGGCGAAGGCGGCCUUCUGGACUGACACUGACACUGAGGUGCGAAAGCGUGGGUAGCAAACAGGAUUAGAUACCCUGGUAGUCCACGCCGUAAACGAUGUCGACCAGCCGUUGGGUGCCUAGCGCACUUUGUGGCGAAGUUAACGCGAUAAGUCGACCGCCUGGGGAGUACGGCCGCAAGGUUAAAACUCAAAUGAAUUGACGGGGGCCCGCACAAGCGGUGGAGCAUGUGGUUUAAUUCGAUGCAACGCGAAGAACCUUACCUACUCUUGACAUCCUGCGAAUUUGGUAGAGAUACCUUAGUGCCUUCGGGAACGCAGAGACAGGUGCUGCAUGGCUGUCGUCAGCUCGUGUUGUGAAAUGUUGGGUUAAGUCCCGAAACGAGCGCAACCCUUGUCCUUAUUUGCCAGCGCGUAAUGGCGGGAACUCUAAGGAGACUGCCGGUGACAAACCGGAGGAAGGUGGGGACGACGUCAAGUCAUCAUGGCCCUUACGAGUAGGGCUACACACGUGCUACAAUGGUCGGUACAAAGGGUUGCCAACUCGCGAGAGUGAGCCAAUCCCGAAAAGCCGAUCUCAGUCCGGAUCGGAGUCUGCAACUCGACUCCGUGAAGUCGGAAUCGCUAGUAAUCGUGGAUCAGAAUGCCACGGUGAAUACGUUCCCGGG
rnacentral:rRNA from 1 species